rnacentral:rRNA from 1 species
UACGUAGGGGGCUAGCGUUGUCCGGAUUUAUUGGGCGUAAAGAGCGUGUAGGCGGCCAGGUAGGUCUGCUGUGAAAACUCGAGGCUCAACCUCGAGACGUCGGCGGAAACCAUCUGGCUAGAGUCCGGAAGAGGAGAGUGGAAUUCCUGGUGUAGCGGUGAAAUGCGUAGAGAUGUGGAGGAACACCAGUGGCGAAGGCGACUCUUUGGUCUGUAACUGACGCUGAGGCGCGAAAGCGUGGGGAGCAAACAGG